GACGUAGGGCGCGAGCGUUGUCCGGAUUUAUUGGGCGUAAAGAGCUCGUAGGCGGUGUGUCGCGUCGGAUGUGAAAGCCCGGGGCUUAACUUCGGGUCUGCAUUCGGUACGGGCAUGCUGGAGUUCGGUAGGGGAGACUGGGAAUUCCUGGUGUAGCGGUGAAAUGCGUAGAUAUCUGGAGGAACACCGGUGGCGAAGGCGGCAUCCUGGACCGGUAUUGGACGCUGAGGAGCGAAAGCCAGGGGAGCAAGCGGG
rnacentral:rRNA from 1 species